ensembl:lncRNA
AUCAAGUACAGCACCAGGCGGCUCGAUGGGUUUGGGCUCACAGACGGCGAAGGAAUGGAAAGGCUGUGGUCUUUCCUCCGAAGAUUUGCCAGAGUCACAAAGGAGAUGACUCCAUCUCACCGCGUUGACCUGUUGACUGAUGCCCGUUUGUAUUAUGGACAGAGGAAAUCAACUGACCUAGAGAUGCAGCUCCUGCAAAGACUAGACAAAGCAGAGAAAAUAUUGAUUCUCGCUCAAGAAGACAUCUCAUCUGUCAUCAGAGAGGCACCAGUGUUGGUUUCUGAGGGAGACAUGGAGAAAUGGAAGAAAAGGGAGAUGGAGCUAGCCCAACAGAAACAGAAACCAAUAAGUAAGCAACUGAAGUGAAUGUGUGAAUGUCUUGAAUACAUAUGGAAAAGGGACUACAUCAUCAGGCUGAUUCAGUUCUACAAAUUCAAGUAAGAGUUCAAUGUGUUUAUGUAAGACUGUAUGUUAAUUACAGCCAUCUUUAAGUGCCCUGCUGAUGUGCUUAUGAAAGCCUAGGUGUGAUUACAGUAACAGCAUAGUUUUGAAGGAAACUGUCACAAUGGUUACAAAUUAAGAGUUGCUAUAAUACUGCAGUAAUUUAAUAUGGUGUGAUUAGUAAUCAAUUACCACCAAGGCCUUUCUUAUAACAUAUACAAUGUUUGGUCAGGUGUACCACAGUAAUGGUUUCCGCUUUGUAGCUACUGAAUAUUUGUGCUGUGUUUUCUUUUCUUUUUUGUAUUGUAUAGAUCUGGGACUCGUGAGUCGUACAUGGAGUGUGAAACAGAGUAAGUAGCAAUCUGUCUGUUACUGUUCUCUGAUCAAGUGUGUAAAUAACAUUUAAUAAGAUAACUAACUAUUGUAGAUUCGAGGACUCUCUGCUGAACAUGAAGAAAAAACAAAGGAUUGGGAGAAGAUGGCAAGAAUCUGAUUCAGACUUCCAGUCUACCCUUAAAGAUGUUGACUGUGAACUCAGAGGCCAGCUGAUCUGCAAGGCUAGAACUGAAUCAAGGGAGAGAGCAGUCCUCCUCCACCUAAAAAGAAAAUACAUUAAGAUCCAACUUUGAAAAGGACCAUAAUACAAACUAAUAAAUUAAUUUCUCUGAAUGCA